rfam:Leucoagaricus sp. SymC.cos contig8538, whole genome shotgun sequence.
GCAUUAAUGGGGUAGUGGUAACCUGGGUCGUUGCCAUUCUAUCUCGACCCGCCGGGGGUUCGAUUCCCCCUUAAUGCA